GCCGCUCUGAGUCCCCUUCGGGGUGCGAAAGAAGGGCGGCAUAUAAAUUUAGCAAAUAAAUAAAUAAGUUUUGGAUGGCCAUCUGUCGGGAGGGAUCGGAUGGUGUCUUCCUGACUGGCGGAAAGAACGGGGUCAGACUGGAUGGCCUUUGGGGCUCCCUUCCAACUCUAGGAUUAUGUUGUUGUUGUUGUUGUUGUUACUAUUAUUAUUACAGAGACUAGGUGGCCCUUGGGGUAUAGGAUUCGGUUAUUACUAUUAUAAUUAGAAUAAUGAGGUCUCUUCCAACUCUACUAUUCUGUGAUUCUGUGGAUGGACAUCUGUCGGGAGGGAUCGGAGCACGUGGGGAGAUUUAAUGCAAAUUCAAUGUCAUGAGAGCCAGCGGCCACAAGAGGGCGCUGCUGCUGCUUCCUCCUGCUCUUCACCGCCACCUUCUGGCCACAAGGAGGAAAUGUCACAAUAUUUAGAAAAAUCAUCCUCGUAUUAAUAUUAAUUAUCCUCUUUCCUUACUUUUUAGUGGGUGUUGAGCGGCGCUGACCUGGAAGCUGGAGGUGGGCUCCAUGUAUCCGGAAUCCACCACGGACUCUCCGGCUAGAUUCUCCAACAGGCAGACGGGAUCCCCAGGCAUGAUCUACAGCGCUCGCUACGGGAGUCCCAAAAGACAGCUCCAGUUCUACAGAAACCUCGGCAAGUCGGGACUGAGGGUGUCCUGCCUCGGACUAGGUAAAGCCCCAAAGGAUAGAGACAUCCAUAGAUCCACAGAGCAAUACAUUCUGUAACUGUGCUUGCUUCUCUGCACACACACACACACACAUAUAUAUAUAUAUAAGUAUAAAGGUUUAUAUAUAAAUAUACAUAUAUUUAUUUAUAUAUAUGAUUUUUUUCUAUAUAAAUAUAUAUAUAU
rnacentral:lncRNA from 11 species